rnacentral:rRNA from 1 species
AUUGACCGCUGGCGGCAGGCCUAACACAUGCAAGUCGAACGCGUGGCGGACGGGUGAGUAAUGUCUGGGAAACUGCCCGAUGGAGGGGGAUAACUACUGGAAACGGUAGCUAAUACCGCAUACCAUCGGAUGUGCCCCGAUGGGAUUAGCUAGUAGGUGGGGUAACGGCUCACCUAGGCGACGAUCCCUCGCUGGGUUGAGAGGCUGACCAGCAACACUGGAACUGCGACACGGUCCAGACUCCUACGGGAGGCAGCAGUGGGGAAUAUUGCACAAUGGGCGCAAGCCGGAUGCAGCCACGCCGCGUGGAUGAAGAAGGCCUUCGGGUUGUAAAGUACUUUCAGCGAGGAGGCGUUACUCGCAGAAGAAGCACCGGCUAACUCCGUGCCAGCCGCCGCGGUAAUUC